GUAGUCCACGCCCUAAACGAUGUAUGCUAGAUCGGCCAGGCUCUGACGUCUGGCUGGUCGGAGAGAAAUUGUUAAGCAUACCGCCUGGGGAGUACGGUCGCAAGGCUAAAACUCAAAGGAAUUGACGGGGGCUCACACAAGCGGUGGAGCAUGUUGCUUAAUUCGAAGCAACGCGCAGAACCUUACCUGGGUUUGACAUGCAUGGAUCAACCUCCUGAAAGGGAGGCCACAGCCGCAAGGCCGGAACAUGCACAGGUGCUGCAUGGCUGUCGUCAGCUCGUGCUGUGAAGUGUCGGGUUAAGUCCUCUAACGAGCGCAACCCCUAUCGCUAGUUGCCAGCGGGUAAUGCCGGGGACUCUAGCGAGACUGCCGUUGUAAGACGGAGGAAGGUGGGGAUGACGUCAAGUCCUCAUGGCCCUUACAUCCAGGGUUGCAAACGUGCUACAAUGGUGCGUACAAAGCGACGCGAGGCCGCGAGGCGGAGCAAAUCGCAAAAAACGCACCCCAGUUCGGAUUGCAGGCUGCAACUCGCCUGCAUGAAGUCGGAAUCGCUAGUAAUCGUGGAUCAGCUACGCCACGGUGAAUAAGUUCCUGAGCCUUGUACACACCGCCCGUCAAGUCAUGGGAGCCGGUAGCGCCCGAAGCCGCCACAGUUCAGUGGUGUCCACGGCAAGAUCGGUGACUGGGACU
rnacentral:rRNA from 1 species